GAUGAAGAACGUAGCGAAAUGCGAUAAGUAAUGUGAAUUGCAGAAUUCAGUGAAUCAUCGAAUCUUUGAACGCACAUUGCGCCCCCUGGUAUUCCGGGGGGCAUGCCUGUCCGAGCGUCAUUACAACCCUCAAGCUCAGCUUGGUGUUGGGCCCCGCCGCCCCGGCGGGCCCUAAAGUCAGUGGCGGUGCCGUCCGGCUCCGAGCGUAGUAAUUCCUCUCGCUCUGGAGGUCCGGUCGUGUGCUCGCCAGCAACCCCCAAUUUUUUUCAGGUUGACCUCGGAUCAGGUAGGAAUACCCGCUGAACUUAAGCAUAUCAAUAAGCGGAGGA
rnacentral:misc_RNA from 1 species